UACGUAGGUGGCAAGCGUUAUCCGGAUUUAUUGGGCGUAAAGGGAACGCAGGUGGUCUUUUAAGUCUGAUGUGAAAGCCUUCGGCUUAACCGGAGUAAUGCAUUGGAAACUGGGAGACUUGAGUGCAGAAGAGGAGAGUGGAACUCCAUGUGUAGCGGUGAAAUGCGUAGAUAUAUGGAAGAACACCAGUGGCGAAAGCGGCUCUCUGGUCUGUAACUGACGCUGAGGUUCGAAAGCGUGGGUAGCAAACAGG
rnacentral:rRNA from 1 species